rnacentral:sRNA from 1 species
UGUGAUGCAAAUAAUGCAGGGAAAAUUCACAAAACUUCCAAGUAUUUCAACAAAAACUUUUUUGGGUGUUCAGUUUUUAUGGACAACAUUUGGAGGAAAGACCACUGAUCAUAAACUAUUUUUACAUGCAUUGGAAUUAUGACAACAAAAAGUUUAAUCCGCCAUUCGGGUUAUAUGAAAGCCGUAUCUGAACCUGGACUGACUUGGAAUACAUAAUGUUAUAUCUUCAGAGACCCAACAAAUCAAAACGAAAGUUGAGUUGAGAGUUUGAGUUAGUACCAAAUGUGCUCAUUUCAGUACCAAAUGGUAUUGAUAGUAAAACAAAACCGUAUGGUAACAAAGCAAUACCGCAUAGUGUGGAUGAAAUACAAAACGACAAAUACUGUUUGAUACCAGCCGUACAACGGAACUAGUAUCGGUUUUAA